AGACGCUCCCUCACUCCAGCUCUUACUGUCUCAUCAGGACCAGAUGCUGCUGUGGUUUCUUCAUCCUCAGUGACCCCAGAGCAGUGAGAGCAUCUAGAGAAAGACCACAAGACACUGAGGAUGUGAUUUUGGGGCCUACAAUCCCCUGAUCAACCUGGAGAACAGAGCCUUGCCCGAGGACACACUGGUGUUCCUGUGGCUCAAGUGGUAGAGCAUUGCGUUAGCAGUGCAAGGUUGAGGGUUCGAAUACCAGGGAACACAUGUUAGGUAGUCGUGCUCAUGGGGUGCAGGCACAUGAAAGUUUGGAGCAGACACAGCGGUCAGAUUGUCCUGCACGUGUUCUUCUGCUCUCGCUUCAAGGUUGUGUGGCUCAGAGAGCCGUCAUCAUGGUCUUCCUCAUCCUGUUGCUCAACGACGUCCC